UACAGAGGUCUCAACCGUUGUUCGGAUUCAUUGGGCGUAAAGGGUGCGUAGGCGGUCGCGCAAGUCGGAUGUGAAAUCUCGAGGCUCAACCUCGAAACUGCAUUCGAUACUGCAUGGCUAGAGUGCUGGAGGGGAGACUGGAAUUUACGGUGUAGCAGUGAAAUGCGUAGAUAUCGUAAGGAAGACCAGUGGCGAAGGCGAGUCUCUGGACAGCAACUGACGCUGAGGCACGAAGGCCAGGGGAGCAAACGGG
rnacentral:rRNA from 1 species